rnacentral:rRNA from 1 species
AAUGAACGCUGGCGGCGUGCCUAACACAUGCAAGUCGAACGAGAACGCCUGGCUUGCCAGGCAAGUAAAGUGGCGCACGGGUGAGUAACGCGUGGGUAAUCUACCUUUGUCUGGGGGAUAACCUACCGAAAGGUGGGCUAAUACCGCAUAACGUGAUCGGGUUGCGACUUGAUCACCAAAGAUGGCCUCUCCAUGGAAGCUAUCGAAUAAAGAUGAGCCCGCGUCCCAUUAGCUAGUUGGUAAGGUAAAAGCUUACCAAGGCUACGAUGGGUAGCGGGUCGGAGAGGAUGGCCAGCCACACUGAAACUGGAACACGGUCCAGACUCCUAAGGUAGGCAGCAGUGAGGAAUCUUGCGGAAUGGGGGCAACCCUGACGCAGCAACGCCGCGUGAGUGAAGAAGACCUUCGGGUCGUAAAGCUCUGUCAAGUGGGAAGAAUAGCCUUAAGGUAAAUAAUCUUAAGGUAUGACUGUACCACUGGAGGAAGCACCGGCUAACUCCGUGCCAGCCGCCGCAGUAAUAC